GAUGAAGAACGUAGCGAAAUGCGAUAAGUAAUGCGAAUUGCAGAAUUCAGUGAGUCAUCGAAUCUUUGAACGCACAUUGCGCCCUGUGGUAUUCCGCAGGGCAUGCCUGUUCGAGCGUCAUUUCAACCCUCAAGCUCUGCUUGGUGUUGGGCCCUGCCCGCUGCGGCCGGCCCUAAAGACAGUGGCGGUGCCGCCUGGCCCUGAGCGUAGUACAUCUCUCGCUCCAGUGCCCGGUGGUAGCCUGCCAGAACCCCAACUCUCGUGGUUGACCUCGGAACAGGUAGGGAUACCCGCUGAACUUAAGCAUAUCAAUAAGCGGAGGA
rnacentral:misc_RNA from 1 species